rnacentral:rRNA from 1 species
UGGGGAAUAUUGGACAAUGGGCGCAAGCCUGAUCCAGCAAUGCCGCGUGUGUGAAGAAGGCCUUCGGGUUGUAAAGCACUUUUAUCAGGAGCGAAACGCUGUCGGCUAAUACCCGGCGGAACUGACGGUACCUGGGGAAUAAGCACCGGCUAACUUCGUGCCAGCAGCCGCGGUAAUACGAAGGGUGCAAGCGUUAAUCGGAAUUACUGGGCGUAAAGCGUGCGUAGGCGGUUUCUUAAGUCUGCUGUGAAAUCCCCGGGCUCAACCUGGGAAUGGCAGUGGAUACUGGGAGGCUAGAGUGUGUCAGAGGGUGGUGGAAUUCCCGGUGUAGCGGUGAAAUGCGUAGAGAUCGGGAGGAACAUCAGUGGCGAAGGCGGCCACCUGGGACAACACUGACGCUGAGGCACGAAAGCGUGGAGAGCAAACAGGAUUAGAUACCCUGGUAGUCCACGCCCUAAACGAUGCGAACUGGAUGUUGGUCUCAACUCGGAGAUCAGUGUCGAGGCUAACGCGUUAAGUUCGCCGCCUGGGGAGUACGGUCGCAAGACUGAAACUCAAAUGAAUUGACGGGG